rnacentral:rRNA from 1 species
UUGGAAAGCUCCGGCGGUGAAGGAUGAGCCCGCGGCCUAUCAGCUUGUUGGUGAGGUAAUGGCUCACCAAGGCGACGACGGGUAGCCGGCCUGAGAGGGCGACCGGCCACACUGGGACUGAGACACGGCCCAGACUCCUACGGGAGGCAGCAGUGGGGAAUAUUGCACAAUGGGCGAAAGCCUGAUGCAGCGACGCCGCGUGAGGGAUGACGGCCUUCGGGUUGUAAACCUCUUUCAGCAGGGAAGAAGCGCAAGUGACGGUACCUGCAGAAGAAGCGCCGGCUAACUACGUGCCAGCAGCCGCGGUAAUACGUAGGGCGCAAGCGUUGUCCGGAAUUAUUGGGCGUAAAGAGCUCGUAGGCGGCUUGUCACGUCGAUUGUGAAAGCCCGAGGCUUAACCUCGGGUCUGCAGUCGAUACGGGCUAGCUAGAGUGUGGUAGGGGAGAUCGGAAUUCCUGGUGUAGCGGUGAAAUGCGCAGAUAUCAGGAGGAACACCGGUGGCGAAGGCGGAUCUCUGGGCCAUUACUGACGCUGAGGAGCGAAAGCGUGGGGAGCGAACAGGAUUAGAUACCCUGGUAGUCCACGCCGUAAACGG